CUGUGGCUUAGCCAGUUACAGCACCUGUCUAGUAAACAGGAGAUCCUGAGUUCAAAUCCCAGCAG
rnacentral:tRNA from 1 species